rnacentral:rRNA from 1 species
UACGUAGGGUGCGAGCGUUGUCCGGAAUUAUUGGGCGUAAAGAGCUUGUAGGCGGUUUGUCGCGUCUGCUGUGAAAUCUCAAGGCUCAACCUUGAGCUUGCAGUGGGUACGGGCAGACUAGAGUGUGGUAGGGGAGACUGGAAUUCCUGGUGUAGCGGUGAAAUGCGCAGAUAUCAGGAAGAACACCCGUGGCGAAGGCGGCUUCCUGGACCGAUACUGACGCUGAGGCGCGAAAGCUAGGGGAGCAAACGGG